UACGUAGGCAGCGAGCGUUGUUCGGAGUUACUGGGCGUAAAGGGUGUGUAGGCGGUUGGAUAAGUGUGGUGUGAAAUCUCCCGGCUUAACUGGGAGGGUGCGCUACAAACUGUCUGACUAGAGUGUGGGAUGGGAAAGUGGAAUUCCUGGUGUAGCGGUGAAAUGCGUAGAUAUCAGGAGGAACACCGGUGGUGUAGACGGCUUUCUGGACCAUAAACUGACGCUGGAAAACAACGAAAGCGUUGGGUAGCAAACAGG
rnacentral:rRNA from 1 species